GUCAUUGUCUAUAUGCUUAUUGUCGAACAUCUCUUGAAGGACGGUGUUGAUCCUUCGAAUAGUAUUAAGCGUUGGAUCUGUGGUUAAUUGUUUAUAAAAAUGGAGUUAGAAAGUUGGCGAUUCCCCUCUGCUAUAUAAUCUGUUUUAUUCAUGAUAACCACAGCGCCCCCUUUGUCGGCAGGUUUUAUUACAAUAUCCUCUUGAUCUUUUAACGCUUUCAAAGCUAUACUUUCUGACUUGGAUAAAUUAUAAUUUCUUGUAUUUGUUAUACAGGACUUUAUAUCAGACCUCACGUAGUUAAUGAAUGACUCCAAGUUAUCAUUUUUACUCUUUGGUGGUUUCCAUGAACUUGUUGUCCUAAAUUUUGGGAUGGGCGUGACUUCUUCAUUGGUGUCAGUAUCUGAAUCUGUUAAUCCGGCUUCUUCAAGGUUUUUCUUGCCCCUAUUGUAGAAAAAAUCUUUCAAGCGUAAACGUCUAGCGAAUUGGUCUAGGUCUCCGUCUAGCUAAAAAGUUGUUUACAGUUGAUGGGAUAGGACAGAAGUUUAAACCUUUACUUAAAAGAGAUUCCUCAGCACGUGUAAGUUCUUUAGAUGACAAAUUUACAACAAUGCUUUCUGUUUUUUGUUUCCGUCUUUUAAAUUUUCUUUUUCUAGGGAUCUUAUGGUCUGUUGUAUUAAUAUCAUUCAUAUGCUGAUUUAAAUGGACAGUGUGAAUUUUAUCUCUUUGAAAUUUAUUCCUUUGUUUUUCUUUAUGUUUCGAUAGUUCAAUUUGUUCAAUAUCUGCGAGUCGACGUUUAAUUAUUGCUAAAUCGUCACGAGAAAUGUUACUAUUGUUGAUGAUAUAAACUCAUCAUAGAUAUCAGGACUAAAUUUUAUAUAUACGCCAGACGCGCGUUUCGUCUACAAAAGACUCAUCAGUGACGCUCAAAUCCAAAAUAAGUUUUAAAAAGCCAAAUAAAGUACGAAGUUGAAGAGUAUCAGAUAUCUGAUAUUUCAUUUACAAUUUGUUUGUAAUUUGUGGUUGUAAAGGAAAGUAACAGUUGAAGAAGCUGGAUUGAACAGUUAAACAGAAUUUCAUUCCAACGGCUCAUGAAUCUUUUGGAUUUAUGUCCCGGUGCCUGGCGACUCACUUUGAUGUUUAAACCUUUUGGUACAGUUUUACUUUGAAUAUUGAAGUUAUUAGAAGUAAACAUAAUUCGAAAGAAAAGAUUGUACAAUAUUGAGGAAGUUUACUGCAAAAACCGUAAAAAAAUCUAAACAAUAUUUUUUUUUAAUCCGUCGAAAAUACAAUGAGAAAAUAUACUAAAAACGUGUCGAAAAGUAUGAAUAAAGUAGCUUUGUUACCCUUAUAAUACCAGUUGUUGAUAUAAUAUUUCCAGAUUAUUAUGUAGGGCUGAUGAUAUAUUUCACUUCAUUUAACUAAUUGUAAUAAUAUCAAUUUGUAAAUUCCAAUAAAUGUUUGUCUAAAAUUUACCCAUACGGUCCAACUACAUAUAUGGUUCCAGUUCGUCCUAUAAUGCACGUUUAUACGCAUACGAUCAGGAACGUAUCAUUGUGGUCUGUUUUCAUUCUGCGUACGGUCCAAAUCGUCAUAUGGUCUGGGACAUUUAUAUAAACCUAUAAACAUAUGGUGGAUAUUGUUAUACACUACUUAUAGGUUGCAUUUCUGUAUAUAUUGACAAUGCAAUUUCCUUUAGGAACUCCUUUUACGUCUUAAACUGUACCACUUUUACUAUGAAGUUUUGAAAAAAACUCUUAUCCUAGAAUUGAAAGUAUAUAUAUGCAUCACAAUUGUUUUCAAAGGUCAACAUAUAGGGCUGUGCGGCAUAUCUUCAACGUUUAUAUGCCCUGAACUUCUCAGAGUUUAAACUAACACUAAUUUUCUUAACUACCCCUACCUCGAAUGAAAGGUUACCACAGAUUUCAAUGUAAACAAUAUGCACAAGUUUAUUUACAGGUUACAUUCCCAAGUUAUGUCUUUGUGAGAUGGAACACAGGGAGCAUAACUGGGAACCAGAAUGUAAACAAAAUUAAUUUUCUAUGAAUAUUCAAGAUCUCCCCAAAAGAGGCGUGUUUUGAGAAACAGCUGUAUUUACAAAGUGCAACCUAUAACAUGUACUAAAUAUAUAUUUUUAAAAGAUAUCCAAUAGAUAUUUAAUUUGUCGGCGUCAGCCUAAAAAAUAACUUAACACACAUAGGGAAAACGUACUAUACAACUGUUUUUAAAAUAUAAUUCUUUAAUUUCACUGUUAUCUACCAAAUUGUAAGUUUGGUAUCAUUGUGGUCUGUUUUCAUCCACUGGUGCGAUGUCGUUACUGAUGGACGUUUCGUUCCUGAGUGUAUCUGAGUGGUUGGCAAUCCUUUGGUUGAGAGUUCAAACCCAUACACUGUGCGUUUUGAUGUGUGUUUCUUUAUUCCACAUAGGCUAGAGGUAACGGGAACGAUUGAGAUCUCACUCCGUCUGUGACUUUGAGAACAAAUUAAUUACAAUAGUCACAUAUUCGGAUCCAGAAUUCAUGUGGCAAAAAGUUAUUUAAGUGUUUAAUUCUUUCGGAGUUAGUAAAUAUUCUAAUCUGGUUACUUAUGUGUUCUUUGUUCUACGAAUAUCUGUCUACUCAUGUAUGUUGACAAUGAAACCACAUCUUCUUAUAAGAAUUGUAUAUGAUGGUCCAAGUAAUAUGUCGAAAACGUGUACAUUUCAUUUUUUUCUAGAUUAUCGCAUGCGAUUGUGGUACCUUUUUGGUCUCUUUUCAUUGUGUUACAUAUACAUAUGAAUCGUAACACUUUAUAUUUACUAAACAGGUAAAAGAUAUACUUCUCAAGAAACAAAAAAACUUAUUGGCACCAGGCUAUGAAGGAAUAAAAUCUCAGAUCAAAAUAAAAUUGAGAAUGGGGAAUGUGUCAAAGUGACCACAACCCGACAAUAGAACAGACAAAAGCAGAAAGUCACCAAUAGGUCUGCAAUGCAGCGAGAAACUCCCGCACCGGGAGGCGUCCUUCAGCUGGCCCCUAAACAAAUAUCUAUACUAGUUUAGUGAUAAUGGACGCCAUACUAAACUCCGAAUUAUAGCAUAGCAUGGACAAUAUGUUGGUUAUACGUAAUUGUGCAUAGCAACGAUACCUAUCAAUAAUUGUGCAGAUAACCUAAACUUUUUAUAAGUUUAUCCGGGUUUUCAAACAUUUUUUGUUCAAUUUUUAACUUCACACCAAUCGGUCAAAAAGGCUAUUUCUUCACGUCCAAACAAGUAAAAGUGUUUCAUUCACCAACAAAAAACGUGCGAAAAAUAUCCAAAGCAAUUUUGUAUAUCAAAGUUAUGUAGAUCCGUGCAAACGUUCAUGUCAAUUGCGAACUGACCAAAUAAUUUUUAUAUUACGACCAGUCCACUGAUAUUGACAUUAUCAGAGAGUACACAUCAAAGGCAAAUGCACAAAUCACCGAUAGAUAUGUUAAUUUGUUUAGUACGUUACAUGAAGUGAUUUCGAUUGAGCUUCAUGACGACUCUCUCGCUAAUGGAUAUUUGUGGCUAAAAAUAAAAUAUCGUUUAUUUCAAAUUACUAUCUGGUAAUUAAGUGGAAAUUAAAGACGGAAAUACGUUUUGUGUUCAAUGGAAUCAUAGUUCAAAUCAGUUUAACUACUGUGUAAUUGUCUCGAAAACAACCCUUUCACCCCGGUAAAAUUCAGAUGUAAACAUUUAUUCAAAGUUAUUUGGUACAUUUAUCACCUUUGCGAAUCAGGCUAUUAUAUCACGAAGGCGGGAAUCCUUUUCCAUUGAUUAAAAAUGUAACGGAACGCAAAUGUACUGUAGAAAUAUAUUAAAUUACAAGUUGCGGACACUUUAUAUGAUUUUUUAAAUGAUAGUUCACCUUUGAAAAGGAUAAUCCUAUCAUUAUUUGUGUGUUAUUUGUAGUUAUAAAUUAUCUUCAGAAGUAUCAUAAAAAGUCAUUUAUAAACCUUUUAUAAAAAUAAUUAGAGUGCAGAAAAGUGAUGUGUUGUUUUUAUAAAUGAUGGUAUGAAUUUUACAAACUUGUUAUAACAAAGUCUUACAUAGACAUUGCUAUCAAAAUUAACAUUGAUAUCAGUAAUAGUGAUUAGAGGUCGAUCAGUUUAAAAUGUAUUUUUAUGCAAUUUUAAAAUAAAUGGAUUUUAGGCUCAAAGAAUUAGCGGUUAAAAUAUAGUUGACAACGGUGGUAUCUCCAAAAAAAAUGUUUGUAUUAUUCGGAAGUGAUGUAAUAUUUCGUUUUUCAGUAGUUGCAAGUCAAUGGGGUAUAUGUAAUGAUGAUGGUUUAUUACAGACUUGGGGUAAAUUACAUUGGAAUGUAAUUAAUUAAAUUACACAUUACAUUGCAAAAAUGUUCCAUUACACUAAUUACACAUUACACAGUUUUGGAAAUGUAAUUAAUUAAAUUACAAUUACUUUACUAAAGUAAUUAAUUAAAUUACACAUUACAUUUCAUCAUGAUAUUUGUAAACAAUAUUAUACAUGUAUAUAUAAUGCAUGUGUAAAAUAUGCAUGUAAGCAUAGUUUAAGCAUUGCAUUUGAUAAUCAUUAGUUAUUUUAAUGUUACAUGUAUGUCAUUUAUUCUGAAUCUCUCUGGUCUGAACACUUUGACAGCAAUUCUAAAUAGUCUUGCGACAGGAGCUAAUGUCACAGAUAUUGCUUGAUCAGAACAUAGAAGUUCCAUGAUCAGAAGAUCAUCAUAGUGAUAGGAGAGGGAAUUGGUUCCUAUUAACCAAAUGACAAGAGGUAACCAAAGUAAUUAUCUGUGUAAGAUGACAAGAGGUAUCCAACGUCACUACAUGUGUAAGGAUACCAGAUACCAGAGGUUGCCAAAUUGAUUUAUUGUGUAACGUGACCAGAGCAUCGUUGUAAGUUGACCAGAGGUACACAUAGUCAAUAUCCUUGCAAGUUGACCAGAGGUUACUAAAUUAAAUAUAAGGGUCUGGUGACCAGAACAUCAAUGUAAGGUAUUUAGAGGUAUCAAAAAUCAAUUUCUGUGUAAGGGAACACAUUCCCGUGCUUGUAUUUCCUAGCAUGAAGUAACAAAAUACACAAUUUAUGUUAGGUGAGCAUCGGUAUCCAAAGUCAACAUAUGUGUAAUUAUUGUUAACAGUGGUAACCAAAGUCAAUAUAUGUUAAGAGAACAAUGGGAACCAAAGUAAACAUUUGUAUAAAGCCAACAAAGAGAACCAAAUAUGUGCUAGGUGACGAGAACUACCCAAAUUCAAUAUUUGUGUCAAUCAAGUAGAUGUAGAUGUAAUAAAUUCAUUAUCAGUGUAAAGAGACCAGAGGUAACCAAAUGGGAUAAAAGUGUUAAGUGAACAGAACAUCAUUAUAUAGUGACUAGAGGUAACCAUAGUCAAUAUCUGUGUAUGGUGAUCUGAAUUAAAGAAAUCAAUAUCUGUGAUAGAUGAUAUUUGGGUAACUUAAGUUAACAUCGGAAAGUAAGGUGACCAGAGGUUACACUAGUUAUCACGUCUAACAAUAACUAAAACAUCAUUGUAAGAUGACCAGGGGGCAUAGUCAAUAUCAAUGCAAGGUGACAAAGGUAACCAAACUGAAUAUAUGUGUAAGAUGACGAGGAGUAACUAACAUCAAUAUAUUUGUAUGGUUACCAGAGGUAACCAAUUGAAUAUCUGUUUAAUGUGACCAGAACAUCAUUGUAAUGCAGUCAAUAGAUGUGCAAUGUGACCACAGGUUACCCAAGAAAGUAUAUAUGUAAGGUGACAAGAGGUAACCAUAUUGAAUAUCGGUAGAAUGUGACCAACACGUCCUUGUUAGGCGUCAAUAGGUAAACAUAGUCGAUAUAUGUACAAGUGACCAGAUAUAACUAAAGUAAAAUAGAUGUGUAAUAUCCUUGUAAGUUGAAAAGAGGUAACAAAAUACACAAUUUAUGGUUACAUGGUAGGUGAGCCUUGGUACCCAAAGGUCAACAUAUGUGUUAUUAUAGUGAGCAGAGGUUAACAGAAAGUCAAUAUAUGUCUAUAGAGAACAAAUGGAAUCAAAGUCAGAGGCAAACAAAUCAUAUAAAAAAGUAAAGUGAUCAGAAUAUCAUACCAGAGGUGACCACAGUCAAUAUCUAGGAUAUGUAUAUUUUAGGUACACAUCAACUAUACCUCAAGUAUAGACCAAUUUAAUCUACAUGCAUUGAAAUAUAAUGUUUAUUAAUGUAUAUUGCCAUCAAAACUUUCGACAAGCCUUGUCUACUUGAUGUAUACAUCAUUUGUACCUUAAGUUCAGACCAAUUCAAUCUUCAUACAUUUGAACAUUAUGAAAAAGGAAUGUCUAUUCCCAACAACAACAGUUUGACAGUCUUUUUCUAGUCGAAUCAAAACAUUCGAAAGGCUUUGUUCUACUUAAGUUGCACAUCAACUGUACCUCAAGUGCAAACAAAUUCAAUCUGAAAUAUAAAUCAAUUGCUUUUAAAAGGCAAUUGUAAACGGUCUUUCCCCCCCCCCUUUGAAACAUGAUUGUUUGUAAUGUGUGUGUGUGUGGUGUGUGUUUGUUUGUUUGUUUGUUUGUUUGCUUGUUUGUUUCUGUAAGGGGUCUAUAUUAUUCCGGGGAAAUUUCAUGUUUAGUUUGGAAAGUUUUUAUUUUAUUUCAGGUCCAGCGCGCGCGCCAGAUUGAGGAGACAUCACGUGACGCGGGUUUAUAAUAACGAAAACUUUUUAUUUCUUUUUAGGUGGGGAUGUUGAACAGACAACAUGUAUAGAGACGGAAUGUACACAAUGUAAUUUCUUUUGUCAUUGUAGGAAAUUUACAUUUUGAUCACAGUUCACCAGCAGUGCAUGCUUUGGAUUUAAUUGAAUCGGUGUAACUUUAAAACACAUUUAAGGAUUAUUUUCUGAUAAUGUACAUUUUUCAGCACCUGUUUGUAACACAGAAUAGUAUUUCAAUCUAGGAGCGGACAUUUUAUUGUAGGAUUUCACUGAGAUUUACGGACCUAGCAAGCGAUUUGUACGGCAUUGCCAUUUCUUUUCUCUAGAAAAAGUCUUGAGAGAUAUCUGCACCACGUUGUUUUAUGAACUUUAAGUACAUGUAUGCCUUGCUGACUGCAAAUUUUGGGGUUGAUUGGGCUUGUUGUUUCAGAGUACAUGUGGAUUUUUUUCAGAAGAGAUGUAAGAACAAUAUUCAAAUUCAAUUCUUCUUGAAUAAUUGAGAGUUUUUUCCUUCCAUGUUAUUUUAAAUGUACUGUAAUAAAUAAACUGUCAUACGUAUUGAUUGAUUGAUUGAUUGAUUGGUUGGUUGGUUGGUUGGUUGGUUAGUUGGUUGAUCAAUUAAACACGUGGGAUAGGGUCCCUUGAAACAGGCGAAAAAAAACCGAAAAUGAGACUCUGUGACCCCGUAUUAAACACAUGAGACGCAAACAUGCACUGAUUGAUUGAUUGAUUGAUUUAUUGGUUGGUUAAACACGUUGAUUGGUUGAUCAAACACGUUGGUUGAUUGGUUAAACACGUUGGAUAGGUUUCUUGAAACAAGCGAGAAAGAAACAAAUGACAUUUUGGACUCCAUAUUAAACACAUGUAUGAUUCGUUGGUUGGUUGGUUGGUUAAACAUGUUGAUUGGUUGAUUAAACACGUUGGUUGGUUGGGUUAAACACGUUGGAUAGGGUUUCUUAAAACAAGCGAAAAAAAAACAAAUGAGAUAUUGGACCCAAUAGUAAACACAUGAGACGGAAACAUGCACUGAUUGAUUGAUUGGUUGGUUAAACACGUUGAUUGGUUGAUUAAACAUGUUGGUUCGCUAACCACGUUGGAUAGGUUUCUUGAAACAAGUGGAAAAGAAAUGAAUGAGAUCUUGGACUCCAUAUUAAACACAUGAGACGGAAACAUGCACUGAUUGAUUGAUUGAUUGAUUGGUUGGUUAAACAUGUUGAUUGGUUGAUUAAACACGUUGGUUGGUAAACAGAUAGGGUUUCUUGAAACAAACGAGAAAGAAACAAAUGAGAUAUUGAACUCCAUAUCAAACACAUGAGACGGAAACAUGCACUGAUUGAUUGAUUGGUUGGUUAAACAUGUUGAUUGGUUGAUUAAACACGAUGGUUGGUCGGUUGGUUAAACACGUUAGAUAGGGUUUCUGGAAACAAGCGAGAAAGAAACAAAUGAGAUCUUGGACCCCAUAUUAAACACAUGAGACGGAAACAUGCACUGAUUGAUUGAUUGGUUGAUUGAUUGAUUGGUUGAUUGAUUGAUUGGUUGGUUGGAUAAACACGUUGAUUGGUUGAUUAAACACGUUGGUUGGUUAAACACGUCUUUAAAAGCGGAAAAGAAAUAAAUUAGAUCUUGGACCCAAUUUUAAACACUUGAGACAGAAACAUACAUGCACUGAUUGAUUGAUUGAUUGAUUGAUUGAUUGAUUGAUUGAUUGAUUGAUUGAUUGAUUGAUUAGUUGGUUGGUUGGUUGAUUGGCAUCAAAACAACACACAUAAAACUCUUUAAAUAAUGCCAAAAUCACAUAAUUUGCCUCUUAGUACAUGACCUUGACCUUUCACAUUUCGACAUUCGUCAAGAUCAUUGCUCCACAAUGUCAUUACAAAAGACCCUAUGGGUCAAGGACCUUUUGUUUAAGAGUUUUGCCUAAUAAUGGCUUUUUAUAAACUAUGAAUGGGGGUUAUGUCCCUUACAUAAUGGUAAAACCAAUACAUAUAACAUAAAAAUGUUGCCCCUUGAAGUACCAAGACUUUUUUCACUACUUAAAUUUUCUGUAUGCAUAACCAUUCCAAAGUUAUAGGGAAAUCAAAGACAAAUAAUAUCUAAAAUACGACCUUGACCUUUGGCCUUGACCUUUUUUUCAUUUUUUUGGACCAAGGAUCUCAAAUCAAAAGACCCUAGGUCUCUAUCACUUUUAAAAUACAUUUCAAAAUUUCAAAUACAAAAGGGGAAAUAACUCUCAUAUGGAAUCUCUAUACGGCUUCGGUCUAAAUAAAACAGCACAUCCUGAGGCUACAAGGAGCAAUUUUGAAAAAUAAAUUUGUCGGUUUCUUAUACGGUUGUGAAAAUUAAGCUAUAACAAGAAAAACAGUGUUCGGGGAGAUAACUCUUAUAUGGGAAAGUAUUCGGUUUCGCAGUGUCAGUUUCAAAAGCGCAUAAUCUGUUCGAUAUCAUAUUACAUUUAUCUAAGCAACAUCUUGCGAAACAAAAAAACAGCGAAGGAAAAAAUUUUGGCGGAAGAAAAAAAUAAUAAUAAUAAUAAUAAUUAAAAACCAAUUGUUCAGAGAACCAUUGAUGGUCUUUCCACCAGCUAAGACCUUUUUUUAUUUGAAAAUAUUAACAUUUGGUUCAAAAUGUCAAUUUUAGAGUCAAAUGAAAGCUUAUUGAACGCUUAUUCCAAAAAUAUGGUUUCUGGUUUAAAAAAAAAAAAAUAUAUAGAAAAGGAAGAAGAUAAUCUUUUAUUUCCGGUUUAAAAAGUUUACUUCCGGUAUUGUUUGAUAGUUUACUUGACACUGAUUUCAAAAUAUAUGGUUUUAUAUACUUUUUGUUGAUUUAGUACAAAAAGUAGCUACUUCCUGUUUACAAAAGGUUACUUCCGGUUGUGUUUUUUAAGGUCACAUUGCUUACAACUAAAUGCAAAAAGUCCCAUGGCUUUAUCAUGUGUACAUAUGAGGUAAAAGAAAAGGUCAAAAUCUAGAAUGUUUAAUUAGCAUAUGACCUUGAGCUCAAUUUCAAGGUCAUCAACCAAGAACCUCAAAUCAAAAGACUCUAGUCCUCUACUUUAUAUUGUUAAUGAGUUAUAUUACCAUACGUAUGAUAUAAGAUAUAAAAAGGGGGAAAACUCGCGUCAAAUGUCUACGUACCCUUUCGACUAAAAUUUAUGUGUUACGACAUGUCGUAACUCACAAUUGUGUGAAAAUAUUUUGUUGAUAUCUUAUAUGAAUUCUGAAAAAAAGAGAUAACAAGCCAAAAUCAAAAUUUUAAUCAUGACUUUGACCUUUGACCUUGACCUCAUUUUCAUUUUUUAGGACCAAGGACCUCAAAUCAAAAGACCCUAGGCCUCUACCACUUAUGGCUUUCCAGUUAAAAAUGCAUAUCACUUAUAUCAAAUAUAAAAGGGGAAAUAACUCUCAUAUGGAGUCUCCGGAUAGCUUCGGUCAGAAUUAAUCAAAUCAUCCUGAGGAUAUAACGAGCAAUUUGGUAAAAUAAAUUUGUCGGUUUCUUAUACGGUUGAGAAGAUUAAGCGAUAACAAGAAAAAUAGUGUUCGGGGAGAUAACUCUUAUAUGGUUUAGCAGGGUCAGUUUCAAAAGCGCAUAUACUGUUCGAUAUCAUAUUUCAUUUAUCUAAGCGACAUCUUGCGAAACAAAAAAACAGCGAAGAAAAAAAAAUUAAAAAACGACUUUUGUCUGCACUAGUUGCAAAGGGAAGCUAACUAGCUGAGGUCUACUUGAGAAAAAAAUCCAGGGUGUUGUUUUGCUUAAUUUCUUUUUUUUAACUAGGUCCAAAGUUUGGGUCGGACACCCUAUCCCACCCUUACAGAAAAGUUAAUAAAACAUGUUCUACGGCAAUACUUUUGUCUGCACUAGCUAUAUAGGUGCAAAGGCAAGCUGGGCAGCUGAGGUCUACUUGAGGAAAAAUCAAGGGUGUUGUUCGGCUUAGUUUUGUUUUUAAGUAGGUCCAGAGUUGGGGUC
rnacentral:lncRNA from 1 species